UUUAAUUGAUGCUAACCAUAGUGAUGGGAGAUACUUGCUUAUACAGGAGAACAUAAUUUAUUAUCUUAUUUUAAAAUAAACAUUACACUAAAACCCCACAUCAUUUCAAGAAAUGUGGGCAAUAGUAGUUAUUUUAUUAUUAUACGUAACUUUUAAAAAUAACAAGAUAGACAAAAUGUUUGAGCUACAUGCACAUGAAAAGUGAAAUUUACAAAAAGCUUAAGAAAUGGAUCCAAAAGUAUAUUUAAGCACUUCCUCUGAAACCCUCAUAACUAACAAAAUAUGAAAAAACAAUAAAUGUGGUUUAUAAACCAGAAAGCUUAAAAAAUCUCUUCUAAUGCUAUUUUUAUUAAAAAUGUUUACUCAUUAAUAUUUUAAUUGGAACUUUGCAUCAUCUCAGGUAGAACGUGAGUCUCCUGUCACUAUAUUUAAACAAGAAUGUCCUAAAAGAUUGUCUAUUUUCUGAAAAUAGCCUCUGCUUUCCCAAUGGUUGUUGCUUGCUUACUAAAGAAAUAUGUAAAUCUUUGAUUUAAGCUUUUAUUAUACAGUGAUUCCAUUCUGCCACUGUGACCAAAAGUAUCUGAUUGCUGAUCAAAUUCUCUAUAUUCGUUUCACCUUUCCCCCACUCUCUGUUAGGUUCUGAGCUCAUGCCCAAAGCACUGUCCACCAGGAUAGUGGGAGGCAUUUGGUGGUUUUUCACACUUAUCAUCAUUUCUUCGUAUACUGCUAACUUAGCCGCCUUUCUGACAGUGGAACGCAUGGAAUCCCCUAUUGACUCUGCUGAUGAUUUAGCUAAACAAACCAAGAUAGAAUAUGGAGCAGUAGAGGAUGGUGCAACCAUGACUUUUUUCAAGAAGAAGAAAAAAAAAGAAUGAGGAGGAAUAAGAAGAGGAGGAGGAAGGAAAGAAGAACAGAAACACAAAAUCUUACUGUGUCAUUACAUGACCUAUGAUUAAUCUCUUCCAUCUUAUUUACAUUUUGGAUAAAUAGGUGACUCUAUUUUCUCAAAGUAAAAAGGAAGAUAUAUUUACUUACUUGCCAAUUAUCUUAUUGAAGUGUUAAAGUUUUAUUUUUCUCUGGAUUAUUUUAAGAUAUACUUACUAUUACUUAAUUCAUUUUAUUGAAAGUUGACAUGGUAAACUAUAUUUCCAGGACUAUAGAAGAUUCAAAGAUGAUAAAAUAUGUAUGGCCUUUUCUUCACAGGCUUUAAAAUCUAAUGACAAUUUCAUAAGCAACCAUAAAUUUGAACAUUUUUGGUAUCUGUAACAAUAUAGUACUUUAUGUAAAUGGUUAUAGCAAGAAUAAUGCCAUAGUUCUAUGAGGAAAGAAAUUUUAAAAUUCCUGAUUCUUCUCCUUUAGAAAUAUGUACAUAUUUAUCUAUCUAUGCAUAGAUACUAUUUCUUGAAAUAUAGUUAAAUCUAUUAUACUUCCAUCAUAUUAGGCUAUAUAUGCAUGCUUCUAUAUAUAUAUAUUAAUAUAUAUGUUAACAUACAGAAUAAAAAUAAAUAUAUAUGUUCUACUAGC
rnacentral:sRNA from 1 species